UCGGGAAUUUUGGGCAAUGGGGGAAACCCUGACCCAGCAACGCCGCGUGAGGGAUGAAGGCCUUCGGGUCGUAAACCUCUGUCGAGAGGGAAGAACGAUCACGAGUCGAACAGGCUCGUGAUUUGACGGUACCUCCAAAGGAAGCACCGGCUAACUCCGUGCCAGCAGCCGCGGUAAUACGGAGGGUGCGAGCGUUGUUCGGAAUCAUUGGGCGUAAAGCGCGUGUAGGCGGCUUGGCAAGUCGGGUGUGAAAGCCCGGGGCCCAACCCCGGAACUGCAUUCGAAACUGCCUCGCUGGAGUCCCGGAGAGGGUGGCGGAAUUCCCAGUGUAGAGGUGAAAUUCGUAGAUAUUGGGAAGAACACCGGCGGCGAAGGCGGCCACCUGGACGGCGACUGACGCUGAGACGCGAAAGCGUGGGGAGCAAACAGGAUUAGAUACCCGCGUAGUCC
rnacentral:rRNA from 1 species